rnacentral:rRNA from 1 species
GACGAACGCUGGCGGCGUGCUCAACACAUGCAAGUCGAACGGAAAGGCCCUGCUUUUGUGGGGUGCUCGAGUGGCGAACGGGUGAGUAACACGUGAGUAACCUGCCCUUGACUUUGGGAUAACUUCAGGAAACUGGGGCUAAUACCGGAUAGGAGCUCCUGCUGCAUGGUGGGGGUUGGAAAGUUUCGGCGGUUGGGGAUGGACUCGCGGCUUAUCAGCUUGUUGGUGGGGUAGUGGCUUGCCAAGGCUUUGACGGGUAGCCGGCCUGAGAGGGUGACCGGCCACAUUGGGACUGAGAUACGGCCCAGACUCCUACGGGAGGCAGCAGUGGGGAAUAUUGCACAAUGGGCGGAAGCCUGAUGCAGCAACGCCGCGUGCGGGAUGACGGCCUUCGGGUUGUAAACCGCUUUCGCCUGUGACGAAGCGUGAGUGACGGUAAUGGGUAAAGAAGCACCGGCUAACUACGUG